rnacentral:rRNA from 1 species
UACAGAGGGUGCGAGCGUUGUUCGGAAUUAUUGGGCGUAAAGGGCGCGUAGGCGGUGCGGUAAGUCACCUGUGAAAUCUCCUGGCUCAACUGGGAGCUUGCAGGCGAAACUGCCGUGCUGGAGUGUGGGAGAGGUGCGUGGAAUUCCUGGUGUAGCGGUGAAAUGCGUAGAUAUCAGGAGGAACACCUGUGGCGAAAGCGGCGCACUGGACCACAACUGACGCUGAGGCGCGAAAGUUAGGGGAGCAAACAGG